ensembl:misc_RNA
UUGACAAUCUUGGAGACUGAAGCUCUCUAUUUAUUGACAGAACAUGUACAGCUCAGUGAGUGGCAGUGCUAGCUCCCUUUAGACUCUAUUAAUACAUCUCCACCUUGGAGGUGGCUCUUUCUAAGGCUGAGAGCAUAGUCCAGUUUGCAUGCCUUGGCCUUCCAAGGCCUCU